CCAACUUACAUUAUCAACUCAGUUGAUAAAACCAAAUUACCUAAUAGAAAACGAAUCCGUUUUGCCGAAUGCCCAGUGGGGAAAUACGUACAAAGUGAGUUCAUUAAUUAGUAAAUUCUUGUGGUUGCACUUUCAAGGACUUUAAAACCUUAGUCAAAAAUUAUUAUAUCUAGCUUUGCUAAAUUGCUUUAAUGAAAUAAAACUACGGUUUUCUUGAACGGCUUAGUGCCACCAUACCUCUGCGAUCUUAUAACAAAAUAUGUGCCCAGACGCAAUUUAAGAUCAAUCAGUGGCCAUCGCCGGUUUGGUUGACGUUGGUUACAAACUUACCGGAUGUGGUUCAAGAUAAUUUUCUCUAGCCUCAGCUAAACUCUGGAACGCACUGCCGCUGGAAAUCCGUUCAAGCGACAGUUUGUUGCAUUUCAAGCGCAAUCUAAACAAACAUGUUUUUAGGAAAGCUUUUUAAAAAAAUUCACUAUUGGUUGGUCAGUGAAUUAAUUAUUUAGGUAGGAAGUUUUUUAUUUGAGGUCUUAUUACUAUUAGUUUUUAUUUUAAAUUCGACAGCUUAGUUAUUUCAUUGAUUAGUUUAUCCUACUCAUGUUAUAGAUAUUUCUACGUGGGCUUUUUUUAAAAUGAUUGUAGGGCGCUAUUGGAUAGCGUAAGAAAUGGCGCCUUAUAAAUUUUUAAGAUUUUCUUCAUUAGUUAUCAGGCUUAUAAGAACUGGAUUGCACGGAACGGUAACGAGCCUCAACUGCCUGGAAUGAAUCUUACAAAUGAAUAGGUGUUCUUUAUAAGCUUUGCAAGAAGUUGGUGUUCAGUCUUUUCAAGUAGAGGGGAGGAGUUCGCCUUAUUAAGUGAACACAGCCCAGCCCCGUGGAGGGCAAAAGCAUCGGUGGUGAACUUCUCGGAGUUUGCAAAAGCAUUCAAUUGUCCAGCAGGGAGCGCAAUGAACCCAGUUAAGAAGUGCACGGUCUGGUAACGAUAUCAAGCCUAGCGUCUAUAUGUAUAAAAUCUUUUUAAUUUAAUGAAGGGAAUGAUUCAAAGUUUAACAGAAAUGCAACUUUACUGAUUCAUACAAACUAUAUUUUUUUAUGAAGAUCAAUCCUUAAAAAGCUUGACCCAAAGGAAUAGUUAGUGAGCUGUCCUAACGGUAAACCCUGCGAAUUAUGAAGUUAAGUUUGUUCACUGUAACUGAUAGCAGCGUGGCCUGUCACCAGUAGGUCAUUAUCUUUAUUCUACCGUUCCAAGAAAGCAGCCCUUUAGGCAGCGGAAACUUAGUACAUCCUGUGAGAGUUUUUCACUUUUCACCACAAACAGUGGCACUGCUCAAAGGUUCAAAGCAUUUGUUUCCUUUAUCUAGUAUCUCCAAUUAGUAGAUGUCCCUUGUAAAGGGGCUAUUUACUUACUGAGCAAGGAAUGCAUUUUUUGUGUUGAUAAUCAAACUCUGAUAAAAGGAAAAAACUGUAUAUUGCUUUUUCAGUGCAAAGAGCUGCUAGAAAAACUUUCACGUUUUCAAACACAAGAACGUUGUUCAUUCAUAGACGACAAUACGCAUUUGUGUUAAGAACUCUUUUGUCUAUCUGGCAUUUCUUUGCACAGCAGAAGCGAGGUAAAUAAUUAUCUUACCUAUUUUUCAUUAAUCCUUUGUUCUCGCUGCUGCUGUUAUGCUAGAGGCCCUUCUAAAACCAUCGCAACGAAAUCAUUGAGAGAAUUUAUUGUAAGAAUAAAAGAAAACAAAGCAUUUGGAAAAUAAAAACAAAUAAAGUUGGUA
rnacentral:lncRNA from 1 species